rnacentral:ribozyme from 1 species
UUUUUCCUUCUUUUUAUCCUUCUUUUUAUCCUUCUUCUUCUCUUUAUCCUUCUCCUCCAUAGAGGGUGAUUG